UCCUCUCAAGUUCAGAAGCGGCCUGCCAGGCACCAGAGCCAAAAUGAAGACCCCAGCCCCUGGCCGCGCCUGCGGGAUCGUGCUGGUCCUGCUCUCGCUGGCCACCCUCCAGACCCUCAGGGCCCAAAAGAAUGACAUCGACAUCUACAGCCUCACUGUAGACUCCAGGGUCUCAUCCCGAUUUGCCCACACAGUCGUCACCAGCCGGGUGGUCAACAAGGCCAGUACUUUGCAGGAGGUCACCUUCCAGAUGGAGCUGCCCAAGAAAGCCUUUAUCACCAACUUCUCCAUGAUCAUUGAUGGUGUGACCUACCCCGGUAACAUCAAGGAGAAGGCUGCAGCCCAGGAGCAAUACAGCGCGGCUGUGGAGAGGGGAGAGAGUGCCGGCCUCGUCAAGGCCACUGGGAGAAAGACAGAGCAGUUCCAGGUGUCAGUCAGUGUGGCGCCCGCUGCCAAGAUCACCUUCGAGCUGGUGUAUGAGGAGCUCCUGGUGCGGCAUCUGGGAGCGUACGAGCUGCUGCUGAAAGUCCAGCCCCAGCAGCUGGUCAAGCACCUGCAGAUGGACAUUUACAUCUUUGAGCCUCAGGGCAUCAGCUUUCUGGAGACAGAGAGCACCUUCAUGACCAAUGAACUGGCAGAGGCCCUCACCACCUCACAGAACAAGACCAAGGCUCAUGUCCGAUUCAAGCCGAUGCUGUCCCAGCAGCAAAAGUCUCCAGAGCAGCAGCAGGACACAGUCCUGGAUGGCAACUUCAUCGUCCGCUAUGAUGUGGACCGGACUCUCUCCGGGGGUUCCAUUCAGAUCGAGAAUGGCUACUUUGUGCACUACUUUGCCCCUGAGCACCUGGCCACGAUACCCAAGAACGUGAUCUUUGUCAUUGACAAGAGCGGCUCCAUGAGCGGCAGGAAAAUCCAGCAGACCCGGGAAGCCCUCAUCAAGAUUCUGGGUGACCUCGGUCCCCGUGACCAGUUCAACCUCAUCAGCUUCAGUGGGGAAGCAACCCCGUGGAAGCCACAGCUAGUGGCAGCCUCGGCUGAGAACGUGAAUGAGGCCAAGAGCUACGCCACUGCCAUCCAGGCCCAGGGAGGGACCAAUAUAAACGAUGCGAUACUGAUGGCCGUGCAGCUGCUAGAGAGAGCCAACCGGGAGGAGCUGCUGCCCGCAGGAAGCGUCACCCUCAUCAUCCUCCUCACCGACGGCGACCCCACUGUGGGGGAAACCAACCCCUCAAAGAUCCAGAAGAACGUUCAGGAAGCCAUAGAUGGCCAGCACAGCCUCUUCUGCCUGGGCUUCGGCUUCGACGUCAGCUACGCCUUCCUGGAGAAGCUGGCACUGGACAACGGUGGCCUGGCCCGGCGCAUCUAUGAGGACUCGGACUCCGCACUGCAGCUCCAGGACUUCUACCAAGAGGUGGCCAACCCACUGAUGACAUCGGUGGCCUUCGAGUACCCAAGCAACACCGUGGAGGCGGUCACACAGGACGCCUUCCGGCUGUUCUUCAAGGGCUCCGAGUUGGUGGUAGCCGGGAAGCUCCGGGACCAGAGCCCUGAUGUGUUCUCAGCCAAAGUCAGGGGGCAGCUGCACAUGGAGAACAUCACCUUUGUAACGGAGUCCCGCGUGGCAGAGCAGGAGGAGGCGUUCUGGAGCCCCAGAUACAUCUUCCACAGCUUCAUGGAGAGACUGUGGGCGUACCUGACCAUCCAGCAACUGCUGGAGCAAAUAGUCUCCACGCUAGAUGCUGAGAAGCAGGCUCUUGAGGCCCGAGCUCUGAACUUGUCGCUCAGCUACAGUUUUGUCACCCCGCUCACGUCCAUGGUGAUCACCAAACCCGAAGGUCAAGAGCAGUCUCAGGUUGCUGAGAAACCCGUGGAAAAUGAAAACAGACACAGGAACGUCCACUCAGGUCACACUCUCUUCAGAUAUCAUUCCGUGGGAGGCAAAGCGUCCAGAGUAUCAGGAGGCAGCAGUGCAGACCCUGUGUUUUCUAAAAGAAGAGGCUGGAGAGGACAAGGUCCACCUGGACCUCUUCAUCCUCCUCAUCUUCCUUAUCCACCCCACCGUACGCCCUGGAGACCAACGCCACCAGACGUGAUGUCACGGCUAUCAGCUACCUCAUUUCUUGAUGAACAUGACAUGGACUUAAGAAUCAAAGAAACAACCACGGCAUCCCCACACCCCGCCCCCAUCCAGCCUCCUUCCGUCAUCCUGCUGCUGCCUGGGCAGAGUGUGGACCGGCUCUGUGUGGACCUCAAGCGCUCUCAGGGACCGACAAACCUGCUUUCAGACCCUGGCCAAGGGAUUGAGGUGACUGGCCACUAUGAGACAGAGAAGGCCCACUUCUCGUGGAUUGAGGUGACCUUCAAGAAACCCCAGCUGCAGGUUCGUGCAUCCCCUGAGCAUGUGGUAGUGACUCGGAACCGAAGAAGCUCUGCAUACAAGUGGAAGAAAACUCUGUACUCGGUGAUGCCAGGUCUCAAGAUGACCAUGGACAAGGCGGGGCUUCUGCUGCUCAGCAGCCCUGACAGAGUGACCAUCGGCCUGCUGUCCUGGCACGGCCCUGGGGCGGGGCUCCGGCUCCUUCUGCGGGACACUGACCGCUUCUCCAGCCACGUCAGUGGGACCCUUGAGAGCUCAAGCUGGACUACCAAGAGGGGCCCCCGGGAACGGAGAUUUCCUGCUGGUCUGUGGAGCUGUAGUUCUGAUGCAAGGAGUUAUGCCCACCCACCGUGCCACCUGCUCGGUGCAGAUGGCUGCCACCCUGCGACCACAGGGCCACCUGUGGGUCCUGUAACAUCAUGGGGAGAGCAGCCCAUGUGUCUGUGCUGACAUCCGAUGACUGUCCACUACAUAGAAGCCCAGGAAGUCAUGGUGGAUGGGCUGUUUCUUCCACACCUGAUGCAAGACAACCACAAAAGUAACCCCAUCUCCAAAGGAGACCACCAUGUUCUUCCUGUCAAUCGUCACAGACAGUCUAGGAGAGAAGAGGAGGUCAGCAGUGAGGCCCAGUGGCCAUGACACCAGGCAUCUGAAUCAAGGGUAUCUCAGCAGGAGACAUGACACCUGAGAGCACACAGAUUCCAGAAACUAUGUCAGGGGUGUUGGAGAGAAGACGCUCAUGCAUGUUGACUGUGCACUCCACUGAGUGGGUCCCUGCUCCUCUGUAAGCAGGAGAAGGGGCUGUCCUGGGCGUCUGGAGGCCCGGGAUCGAACCCCAGCUCCACCACUGGCUUCCUGUGCGACAUUGGGCAGGUUCUGCCCCUCUCUGAGCCUCUGUGGAACUAACACCGCUGCCCUGCCCACCCAGCUUGGGGUGAUCUGAAGACACACGAGAGGCUGAGGAGUUUGAGAACAAGCAAGUUCAGCCAGACACGAUGCAUGUAGGGAUCUUUGUCGCUAUCAGCUUGCUUGCCAGGUCCACCUAAUGCUUUCGUCCACACAGCCCUUCACUCAAGGUCAGUCCUGUGAACUGUCUAGCUACCAAUACUGCCUCUGAUGGGGGCCCCAGGGGUUGGUGGGGGGCCACCAUGGUCACCCUCCUGUAGGCAGGGGCUGAACUCUGAGGCCACUGGUCUUUUCUGUGACCCCUGUGGAUCUUCUGUCCUGCGAUUUGUUCAAAUCCCUCCUUAGACCCUUGCACUAUAGCGCCUCUCAGAGACCCAGUAGUGGGGCUUUACCCAUCCUGUGUGACCGUGACCGUGUCCAGCCAGCUGAACGUGCUCUGUGCAGCCCCAUGCCACAGGGUGAUCCUCUCCGGUGUCACCUCAAUCUGGAAGUCCAUCUGAGCAUUGGCAAUGCCCAGCUUGCCAAAGGACUCCAGGCCCUCCCAGGAAGAGACCCUGGCCCCAGCCCGCAGCCCCCACCUGUGACAGGGUCCUGAAUGAGGCGCAGCACUGUGCCUGGCUCUUCGUCGAUGUUGAAGCAGAUGGCAUCGUCCUUCUCUGGAACUUGGAUGAUGAAGUGGGGGUCCCCAUCCACUGAGUGCACACAGAGAAAGGGCUGGCUUCCAGGGUCUCUUACUGUUCCGGGGCCCUCCCCUUGCCUCCUAGUCUCCGUGGGAUGGACUCCUAAACAGGACCCCCCAACCAUCUGCCUGUCCCAGAGAGCUGAUUCAGGAAAGACUCCGGAGGGGGAUGGCACACGGCCACGCUCUGUGGCAGCUGGCACGUACUCACUCAGGUCUGCUUUCACCUACAGGAGAAGGAGGUGUUCACGCUCCAGCCACAGCCCCGGCAGCUGUCAGGAGAAGCUGUGUCUGGACAGAGCUGACUCCUACACGUGCAGUUGGCGGAGUCAUGGCCACCAGCCCUUGUAGAGGCAGACGUGGGAAGGCCUGGCAGGGAGGCAGGGCCCUGCCCUUGAGGGGCUCACAGACCAUGGGGGACCCUGGAGAGAGCUGCCCAAGGUCUUGC